UCUCCGUUGCCGGAGCAGUUUCGAGUGACACUUGUAACACUCGAUAGGGGUUGCGCUCGUUACUCCACUUAAGGAAACACUUCACAGCACGAGCUGACGACAGCCAUGCAACACCUGUCUCGCGAUUCCAGCAAGCUGGCACAGCACCGUUUCCGGCGCCUUCCGCGGAUGUCAAGACCUGGUAAGGUUCUUCGCGUACCGUCGAAUUAAACCACAUGUUCCACCGCUUGUGCGGGCCCCCGCCUAUUCUUUUGAGUUUUAGCCUUGCGGCCGUAGUCCCCAGGCGGCUUGCUUAACGCGUUAGCUUCGCUUCUUCGAGGGUCGAUACUCCAAAAAGCCAGCAAGCAUCGUUUACGGCGUGGACUAC
rnacentral:misc_RNA from 1 species